CAGCCGCCGCGGUAAUACCGGCGGCCCGAGUGGCGGUCACUAUUAUUGGGCUUAAAGCGUCCGUAGCCGGGGUGGGAAGUCCUCCGGGAAAUCUGGCCGCUUAACGGUCAGAAUGCCGGAGGAUACUCCCAGCCUAGGGAGCGGGGGAGGCCGAGGGGAUUCCCGGAGGAGGGGGGAAAUCCUAUAAUCCCGGGAGGACCACCUGUGGCGAAGGCGCUCGGCUGGGACGCGUCCGACGGUGAGGGACGAAGGCCAGGGGAGCAAACCGGAUUAGAUACCCGGGUAGUCCUGGCUGUAAACGAUGCGGACUUUGUGUCGGACAAGCUAUGAGCUUGUCCGGUGCCGGAGGGAAACCGUUAAGUCCGCCGCCUGGGGAGUACGGCCGCAAGGCUGAAACUUAAAGGAAUUGGCGGG
rnacentral:rRNA from 1 species